ensembl:lncRNA
UGACUCCGUGUCCUGUCGUGGAAAUACUAAUUAAUAAUGAUUAGAGACAAGGUCAAUCACCAAUCAGGAUUUUUCUUUAUUCAAAACGUAUUAAUAACAUUGAUUAAUUAUUGCAAUAAUAAAGCUGGUCGACAAACCACCCCUAGAUGAUUAGUUGAGAGCCCAACGAGCGGAUUUGAGCCACAGCAUUUUAUAGCAAAGUUUAUCUUCCUGAAUGUUCAUGACAAACAACAGAUGUAUGGAAUGGGUCACAAGGUUAAGAUUUUUAUGAAAGAUACUAAUAAUUCACAGCAGACAGUAUCUGCUGUAAAUACUGUUCUCAUUGUGUAGAAACCAGGGUCUGGCCCCCAAAACAAGGUUCCUUUCAUGAUCCAUACCCAAGCCAUCUCUCCCUGGUACCUUCCAGUCAAACCGAAGCAACCUCCCUCACAUGAAUGGAAUGUGACUUGUUAGGUUUAUCACCCAAGAAAAGGUACACUGUGUGAAUGAGUGUGGCAGGAGUAGCCCAGUGCUCAGUGUGGACGGCUCCACACAGAAGCUCUUCUAUCUGAAGAGGAGAGACGUCCUAGAAAUCAUGAAAACCCUUUUGAUGUCGCAGUACACUCUGGGACCUGAGGGGGGAGCCCCGGAGCUCAUAAAGGUGAAGCUGAGUGGAAAGAGUGGCCGAAGCGCAGAUAUCGCUUCAACAGAGACAGGCCUCUCAUCACAGCUACAGGGGAACAGGUCAUCAGGACAUAGUCACAGUGUGGAAUGGGAAGCAGGUCACUGUGUACGAAUCCUCAGGGACGACUCUACGCAACACGGGGGCACAGUGAAGCAACUGCUAGCGACAGGGCAACCUUGUGCCGCUCGGUGGGUGUCAGGGCUACCUGGUGGUUGGAACAGACACAUUUAACCUUUAUUUAACGAGGACAAUGAUCAAGGUAUUUGACCUCACCCGCAGGUAUACACACAGCAUAUAAAAUCCCUAUUACCUCCAGUCAAUU